UCAGCGCUCGUAGCUCAACUGGAUAGAGCGACAGACUUCGGAUCUGUAGGUUAUGGGUUCGAUUCCUAUCGAGC
rnacentral:tRNA from 1 species